ACGGGAGGCAGCAGUGGGGGAUAUUGCACAAUGGGGGAAACCCUGAUGCAGCGACGCCGCGUGAGUGAUGAAGUAUUUCGGUAUGUAAAGCUCUAUCAGCAGGAAAGAUAAUGACGGUACCUGACUAAGAAGCACCGGCUAAAUACGUGCCAGCAGCCGCGGUAAUACGUAUGGUGCAAGCGUUAUCCGGAUUUACUGGGUGUAAAGGGAGCGUAGACGGCAUGGCAAGCCAGAUGUGAAAGGUGGGGGCUCAACUCCCAAGCUGCAUUUGGAACUGUCAAGCUAGAGUAUCGGAGAGGUAAGUGGAAUUCCUAGUGUAGCGGUGAAAUGCGUAGAUAUUAGGAGGAACACCAGUGGCGAAGGCGGCUUACUGGGCUCUAACUGACGCUGAGGCACGAAAGUGUGGGUAGCAAACAGGAUUAGAUACCCUGGUA
rnacentral:rRNA from 1 species